UACAGAGGGGGCAAGCGUUGUUCGGAAUUACUGGGCGUAAAGGGCGCGUAGGCGGUGUCUCAAGUCAGGCGUGAAAGCCCCGGGCUCAACCUGGGAACCGCGCUUGAGACUGGCACGCUCGAGUUCGGGAGAGGAUGGUGGAAUUCCCAGUGUAGAGGUGAAAUUCGUAGAUAUUGGGAAGAACACCGAUGGCGAAGGCAGCCAUCUGGACCGACACUGACGCUGAGGCGCGAAAGCGUGGGGAGCAAACAGG
rnacentral:rRNA from 1 species